ensembl:lncRNA
AAACAACUCUACUGGGAGGUGAAUGGUGAAGCCCAAGCUCAGUGAAGCUGCAGUAUUUAGACUGAGUGUGUUCUGUGAUGUGGCUGCUGCUGCUGGAGCCAAGCUGGUUGUCCUCAAACAAGCUCCUCUUGAGUUACGGGGAUGCCAGGAUGGUGUCACCCUGGUGCCACAGCAAACUAUCAAAUCCCAAGUGGGAAGCUGCGUUUCCGCUGCUCAAGCACCUCUACUAUUCAGUGAAAUUGCCUUUUCAAUGGGAAUUUCUGCCCUCUCCAGCAGUGCUGCUGCACCCAAACCAUACACAAGCAGGAAGGCAUGGCAAGUAUCAAGGCUGAGGCAUGGAGUGCCUGCUGAGUAUGGGGCACACAGUAAGUGGCUUUAGGAUUUUCUUUCUGUCCUGUCCCUGUUGCACGUGACUCCAAUGCUACUCUGGGGUCUGUGUGAGCCGGUAGGGAGCCCUUGCUCCUCCCAGUCUGUUCAGGCUUUCAGGGGUUCAUGCUGCUUUUGUCCCAGUUUCAUGUCAGUAGGGCACUUGCUGGGUCUAGGUACAGCACACCCUGCUCAGACUCCAUCCCUGCACUGCCAUGGACUUGCAUCCACGCCUUCAGUUAACCAAGCCUCAUCUGCAACCUGUUGCUCCUGCCCUACAAUGCUGCUUAAAUUUAGUUUAAAAUCUGGCCAUUUUACUGCUGCAUCCCACAUUCCUCACAGACAGUAGCAAGCUAAUAACAACGUGCUGAUGCCAUCGUAGCCAUCACAGGCUGGAGCUGGCAUGCAUAGUCUUGUCUCGUAAACCUCUUUGUCCCGUGAGAGAUUUGAGAAUUUAAUACACAUUCGGUCUGUACCUCCUUAUUUGAGGCUGGCCAGUCUGAAUCACUUUUGAUAAACUCUAAGCAGGAAUUUCAAACAUAGUUAUGUUCCUAUCAGUUUAAUUAAAGUAGAUGACUGGGUAGAGAAACCCUGUGAAAUGUUCCCAUUGAGGAGAAGGCUGUGCUGGGUGUGCCCCCGAGGAACCAUCAGGGAAUCUGCACAGGGCCAUGGCUGUUAUCAUGGGGCACUGAGGAACUUUACUUGAAGCUCUGUCUUGCACUGCCUUAUGAGGAUGCGACACUGUGUGGAUAUGAGAAGCUGGAAAGGACAGGCAUGGCAUGGAGUUUACUUUGCCAACAUUGAACUGGCAUCAAACAGAAGAUCUAUUUUUCGCCCUGCUCUGGUUGUCUGCAGCAUCUGGAUAAGCUGGAGACAGCAUUUGCUAAACUGAAAAGUAUUUAGGGAGAAGAAGUUCUCUGUCUGUACCUCGGCUCUCAGCAGCUGGACCAUUUAUGGAUGCUCUGUAAGGGCAGUGUAUGAUGACUUGCAGCAUUCCUCCAUGAGAAGCUUUUGUGGGAUUUCUGUCUUAUCAUUAGCACGUUAUAAAAAUGUCAACUAUUUCCAAACCUUUCAAGUUUCAUUGGAAGGACUACUCUGAAUUUCAGCCCUGAAGUCGGUUGAUGUGCGGUUUGAUCAUCUGUUCCUCCUCUCGUACAGAUGCUCUCAAUGUGGACAGCAGAGCAGCGCUGUCACAGCAGAUUAAUGGCAGAAUGCAGCACUGCUUGUGGAAGCAGAGUAACUAAAGACCAACAGUGAUGUUGUACCAUCUGAAUAAACCCUGAAAUUAGAAUAAUUUUUCUCAAUGUUUCGGCCUCAUAAGUACAAAGUAAUAACCCUGUCAGGGGUAAUAUUUGCUGCUGUCUCCUGUGGAUGCAUUGGGAAUUCGCUGCAGCCUCCUGGGCAGAAGGUGGGUGUGUUGAUGGUGGGACACUGUACUAAAGGGAAAUGUACACAAGCCCCUUGGUCACAGUGCAGGAUGGAACUACUGGGAAGAUCAGCGCUGCUUUGAACGUGGCAUUUGGUUUGGUUUCCUCACAGAAAGGACAAUGGAAAAAUGGGGAAUGUAUAUAUAUUUGUACAGCAGGCAAAAUGUGUUGUGGACUUCGGUAGGAGAUGGCAGUCGGUAUGUGAAAUCCAGACCUGAGGCAAAUACCAAAUGGUGGAUGGUGAAGAAAGCCUCGCUGAGUGCUCAUUGCCUCAGUACAAAUUGGACGAGGGCAAAACCUCAGCGAAGGACGAGACUUAACAAUAUUCCUGUAAACCUCACAAAAAUAGGAGUAAUCCUGUAGCAUUGCCAGGCUGG